rnacentral:rRNA from 1 species
AAGUAGUUUGAUCCUGGCUCAGAACGAACGCUGGCGGCAGGCUUAACACAUGCAAGUCGAACGGUUGUAGCAAUACAGCAGUGGCAGACGGGUGAGUAACACGUGGGAACCUUCCUAGGGGUACGGAACAACUCAGGGAAACUUGAGCUAAUACCGUAUACGUCCGUGAGGAGAAAGAUUUAUCGCCCUUAGACGGGCCCGCGUCGGAUUAGCUAGUUGGUGGGGUAACGGCCUACCAAGGCGACGAUCCGUAGCUGAUCUUAGAGGAUGAUCAGCCACACUGGGACUGAGACACGGCCCAGACUCCUACGGGAGGCAGCAGUGGGGAAUCUUGGACAAUGGGCGCAAGCCUGAUCCAGCCAUGCCGCGUGAGUGAAGAAGGUCUUCGGAUUGUAAAGCUCUUUUGCCAGGGACGAUAAUGACGGUACCUGGAGAAUAAGCCCCGGCAAACUUCGUG